GGGCCCGCACAAGCGGUGGAGUAUGUGGUUUAAUUCGAUGCAACGCGAAGAACCUUACCAGGGUUUGACAUCCUGCGAAUCUCUUGGAAACAGGAGAGUGCCUUCGGGAACGCAGUGACAGGUGGUGCAUGGCUGUCGUCAGCUCGUGUCGUGAGAUGUUGGGUUAAGUCCCGCAACGAGCGCAACCCACGUCUUUAGUUGCCAGCAUUUAGUUGGGCACUCUAGAAAGACUGCUGGUUAUAAACCGGAGGAAGGCGGGGAUGACGUCAAGUCAGCAUGCCCCUUACACCCUGGGCUACACACGUGCUACAAUGCUACGGACAAAGGGCAGCAAGUUCGCGAGGACAAGCAAAUCCCAUAAACCGUGGCUCAGUUCAGAUCGUAGGCUGCAACUCGCCUACGUGAAGGCGGAAUCGCUAGUAAUCG
rnacentral:rRNA from 1 species